CCGCUUGACGAAGAUGAAGUAGUCUCGCAUAUCCUGGAAGGCUUGGAUGCAGAUUACAACCCCUUCGUCUCUGCCAUAUCUAUGCGUGUAGAUCAAGG
rnacentral:snoRNA from 1 species